rnacentral:pre_miRNA from 1 species
AACCCUGUAGAUCCGAGUUAGAUGGUUUUUCCAAUUCGAAUCUCGGGGAAUUAU